GACAAGCGGCCAAAAAAUACAAUUUCAAAAAAGGUAACAAGUCUGGCGAGGUUCGGCCGAAGCAACAACACCACGAAGUGAGGCGACGUCCUGGCAUGGAGGUGGUGAUCGGACCAGUGCUCACGUACUGCAGGUAAGUGAGCAGAUGCUUGCAGAAUGAGGAACAGGUACAUGGAGGAGAAAAUUGGAAGGAAGCAGGAUCCGGAGGUCACCUCCAGCCAGCAGCACACACUUUCAGAGGAGAGAGGCAGAGCGGGGACAGGAACACACACACACACACACACACACACACACAAUCCAAACAAAGACCAGGAAGUGAACCAAGCUAGACAGAAACUCCAUAAUCCCGACAUCUUUAGUCUCCCUGAGGACGACGCUUUAUAUUUCCUGAAAACUUUUUGCUUGGAGAUUUAAAGAGAGUUGAUUUCCACUGAGGACGUUUGCCCUCCUUUUAUCUCUGGCCUUAAACUAUUGGACUCAGAGGAUAGUCCAUCAGUUGUCUAUAAAGAUUAACUUUAUAGACUUCCUCAGCAGAUUACCCAAACCCUGCAAACUCUUGACAGUCUCUUUUAGUCCCACUCAUUACACUGAUCACCACCUAUUGGAAGUGUGAAAGUCCAGACAUGUCGCUCCAUCUGUUGGGAGGGAAUGGUGAUUAUUAGCUCGCGUUAGAGUUCUCUUCGCUGCUUCAGCUGGCCAGAAAGUCACGUGUUCAGAGAUGAACCUCGGAGCUGGAUGGAUUCAUGUGCCUGGGUGAGGUGAGAUGAGGCCACUGUACUGUGUUCUGCCUUUCAAAAAACACCAGUCGUAUCGUCCUCCCAAAAUGACACCGAUUACCUCCGCAAAUAACUGUGAUAGUGAUAAUAGCAGAGGGUAAGAAUCAGAUAACAAGCAAGGGCGUCCAUACGGUCUCCUCGUCUGUCUCUGAUCCCUCUAACUUUUCCCGUCUCUCUCUUCCCCAGAGUGUAACUGUCAUCUGCGGCCUAAGCUCAGUUUCUUGGCAAAGACGAUCUUGUUUCCCCGAGUGCAGGCGAUGCCGCUGUUUCAUCUUUCACCCUCCUCCUUAAAGCCAGAGAAUGGAACAGAAGGGCUGUUAUCCGACUAUUCACGAAUCAGAAGGAGUACAACCAGCAGAUGAGCAUGCAAUGGUUGUCAGGAGAUGUGAUAGACAGUGCUUAUGAAUUUGAAGUGGGAUAGUCGUGACAGAGGAUGCUGCUACAGGAGGCAGUUUCAUCCUGGAGUUUCAGUCAGAACAAUCUGACCUGCCGCAAACAAUGUCACCGCUGAUGUUACAGGAGGUCGCCGCAUAAUCAUAAUCUCACACAUGUCAACUUAAGCAAAAACAUAAGGUAAUUUUAAAAGAUGAACAAAAUGUAUCAAUAUAUUGAGAGAAAAAAAAACCAUAAACUUUUCUCAUGUAACAUCUUCACAUUACUUGAUUUGAUUUGUGUGCCUGUCAAUCCAAAACUUUAUUUGAUUUCAUUUGAUAUCACAUUUCAGAAGUUAAAAGCAGCUGAUGUUUGGCUUUUUUUUUGUUUAAAAAAGAUAAAAUUGAUACGUAAACUAUAAUUAAUAAAUGAUCAAAUAACUUGGCAAUUCAUUUAAAUGUUGCAUUAUUUUUAAUUAGUCAUAUCAUUAGGAAUUGUUUUAAUAUAUUGCUGUAAGCACGGAAAACAAAUGUGAUAAUAAAUACUACUUAGACAUAUGGUCCGUAUUUAUUAAUCCUUGUACUUUCAUAUUUUGGCGGUAUUAAAUUAUAUUCUACAUGGUAUUCAGAAGGUCUUGAAGGUUUUGACUUGACUUGGUGAACCCUGUGACACAAAAAACAAGUACUGUAUCAAUCACACUCUCAAAAUGUGCAACAAUUAUAGCAAAAAAGGUAUAAAAGAUAAACUGAAAAAACAAAGACGUGUCUAUAACAAAGUGCCAAUUAUAGAUGACUGCCAGACAUGGGCAAAAGCACUUUGCUCUUACAAAGACAAAGAGCGUCUGCUGUCUCUCAGCGAAAGACUAAAGCUUAUUGCCACUUAUUAGGAAGCCUUGAUUAAGGUGCAGCCUCUGCAAGGAACCUGAUGCAUACAUGCAAGCUGUUUUGAAAUCUACCUCAUCACAGGUAAGAUGGAGCAUUGCUUCCUCCGUACAGCGUUGUUAUAUGUCCUUUAUUGAUGUUAGCUGUGGAAGCAUCUUGGUAAGGUCUUUGCAUGUCUUGGCAGCCACUGAAAAUCACGUCAGUAAACACAAAUGGCGCGUGUGCUUCAACAGUAAUGUUCAGACACCUCUUAUGACAGUAACACCUGGUUUUCAUUGACAAAACUGUGACACGAUUUGAAAAAAUCCUGCUUUUCAUUUCUGAUCAGAAAGCUACUAUACUCUGCAGUCCUCCAAUUGAACCUGCAACAGUCUUGAACCAGAAGCGCAUCAGACACAACUUUCCAUUCCUCCGUAUGUUGCAUGAAGUAUUCAAGUCGGAUCAUUUUGGAGUUGCCCGUUAACGGAGCUAUAAUUAGAUUCCUGUGCUCGAGAGGCUUGCAGGGUGUUGAUCAUUGUUAUUUCAUGUGGCGUGCGGUGCCAUGCAUCUCAUCCUUACAGACGAACCAUUUUCUCCCUCAAGAUAUUCAUAAACACCCAAAUAAUAACUUCCCAAAUGUCCAUAAAUCAUUGGAGGCAUGUUUUUUUAAUGUACAGUGUGGUAAUAAAAUAAACUGCUACUUGUAUGCAAUUGCAGCAUGUUCCCGAACCACAGAUAUACUAUACUAUAUAUGAGUCACAAUUUAAAAUGGAAAACCAACUUCAAGUGUCUUGGUCAGGCGUUGGGCCAGAUCAUUGGUUGUACAAGUCACUUGACUGGAGGCACGGAGCACGAUUCUUCCACUUGACACUCCCUCAUUUGGUGUUUUGACCAUGACCCCUGGUGCCCUCUGGAUGGGUCAUCAUCAUCCUGUAUCUCCGUUAAUUUGUCAGGUUUUUCCUUUAGUUUGCCACCAGUCUGUGUAUGUACGUGUACGGUCUUCUCUAUGUCAAUCAUGUCAUCUUUUACAGAAAAGACGAUUGAUAUGAUAGACGUUCACCCCAUCAAGAGGCAAUGGCUGUUCCUCAAAACAAACACUGGGUGAUAGCGCCCCCUAGCGCUGUCAUUAUAGAUCUCAAAAGUGGUAAUCAUUUUUAAUGUUAUUACCAGUUGUUUUUUUAAUAAUUUCUUUACAAUUGUAUGGACAUCAGGCGGAUCUUUCCUUUUGUAAUUAUACGUCUUCCUUGGAAACGCUGUCUUCAUUAACAAGCUUAUGAUAAUGUGUUCCUUCAUUUUCCUUUUGUUUUAGAUCCUAUCUCAUUGCCUGGGGAAGGCACCUGGGAUCAAGUGAAUGAGAUUCAAUUAACAACUUCAUUCAGCCCAGGAGU